rnacentral:rRNA from 1 species
UAAAACGUAGGAGACAAACGUUAUCCGGAGUUACUGGGCGUAAAGGGCGUGCAGGCGGUUAUCUAAGUCUGGUGUGAAAUCUGUCGGCUUAACCGGGAGAGGUCAUUGGAAACUGGAUAACUCGAGGACGGUAGAGGCGUGUGGAAUUCCGGGUGUAGUGGUGAAAUGCGUAGAUAUCCGGAGGAACACCAGUGGCGAAGGCGACACGCUGGGCCGUACCUGACGCUAAGACGCGACAGCAUGGGGAGCGAACGGG